UGGUGGCCAACAUCCACCAGGAAAACAAAGAAACAGGGAAGCCUAUUCAGAAUAGAGAGGAAGACCACCCUUGGGAGGAGGAAAAGACCGCCUCCUACAGGAAAGACCUCCAGCCUACAGGAAAGAAUAAACAGAAACAGGCUCGCCAACUUGCCCCUAAUUUUCUUUGUUUCUUUUAAUUGGCCCCUAAUUUUCAAUGGGCCAUACCCAAUAGGCAGGUCAAUGAUGGGAUGAAUAGAGGUGGAGAUGAUAUGGAAAUGUUCAUGGAGGAGAUGAGAGGAAUCAGGAGAGAAUAAGGAGCUACAAUUGAGGAAUUGUCUGUGUAUCCUUAUGGGAAGCUGUGUAAUCCCCAUGACCAUCAUGAUGAAUUUUGCCAAUGC
rnacentral:lncRNA from 10 species